rnacentral:lncRNA from 1 species
CUCCUCCCCACCAGGUCAGCAGUGAGGUGGACGCAGCCCGCAGCCCGCAACUCCCCUUCCCAGGGCAAUCUCACUCCCGGAAAGAGGAGGAAGGGGCCCCACCCCGCCCCCAACCCCUCAUGCCUCCGGAAUGACAGCACCAGCAGCGGGGGCCCAAGAAGCUCCGGUUGCUGUGCAGACAUCCGUUCACGUGUCCUCCAGGUACAAGCCAAGGCGUCGGGAGAGCGUCUCCUGCGUGGGCCCGUGGCCUGAUGAGACUCCCAUGCGGAGGGUCCGGUCCCCAGAGGUCAGCGUCCAGCCAGACCCCGGAGACCGGCCGACAGGCAUGUCAUCCCAGCUGCACUGUGGGGGCCCAGGGGGUUGACCACCUAUGAGGAUUAAGGCCAUUCCCCAUCCCUCAUCUUGCCAAGCCAUCACCAGGCGGUAAGGACUCCUGGGCAGUGUCACCUCCGGGGCCAUGCUGGCAUCUGUCACCUCCAUACCUCCCUGGGGUCCCAUCCCAGCCAUUUCUGCCCGCCCGCCUGGCUCGGUCUCUCCCGAGGUCACCGUCCGACUUCCCCAAGUGCAUACUGUGACUCCCAGGGGGUCGAGGACCCAGCAGGGCUCCCCAGUGGUUCCCGG